GCGCCCGUAGCUCAGCUGGAUAGAGCACAUGCCUUCUAAGCCUGUGGUCGCUGGUUCGAAUCCAGCCGGGCGCGCCA
rnacentral:tRNA from 8 species